GACGAACGCUGGCGGCGUGCUUAACACAUGCAAGUCGAACGGAAAGGCCCUGCUUUUGUGGGGUGCUCGAGUGGCGAACGGGUGAGUAACACGUGAGUAACCUGCCCUUGACUUUGGGAUAACUUCAGGAAACUGGGGCUAAUACCGGAUAGGAGCUCCUGCUGCAUGGUGGGGGUUGGAAAGUUUCGGCGGUUGGGGAUGGACUCGCGGCUUAUCAGCUUGUUGGUGGGGUGGUGGCUUACCAAGGCUUUGACGGGUAGCCGGCCUGAGAGGGUGACCGGCCACAUUGGGACUGAGAUACGGCCCAGACUCCUACGGGAGGCAGCAGUGGGGAAUAUUGCACAAUGAGCGGAGGCCUGAUGAAGCAACGCCGCGUGCGGGAUGACGGCCUUCGGGUUGUAAACCGCUUUCGCCUGUGACGAAGAGUGAGUGACGGUAAUGGGUAAAGAAGCACCGGCUAACUACGUG
rnacentral:rRNA from 1 species